GGAGCAGCCCAGAGCCUGAAUCAGUGUGUGUGUUAGUGGAAGCGUCUGGAAAGGCGUGCGAUACAGGGUGACAGCCCCGUACACAAAAAUGCACAUACUGUGAGCUCGAUGAGUAGGGCGGGACACGUGGUAUCCUGUCUGAAUAUGGGGGGACCAUCCUCCAAGGCUAAAUACUCCUGACUGACCGAUAGUGAACCAGUACCGUGAGGGAAAGGCGAAAAGAACCCCGGCGAGGGGAGUGAAAAAGAACCUGAAACCGUGUACGUACAAGCAGUGGGAGCACGCUUAGGCGUGUGACUGCGUACCUUUUGUAUAAUGGGUCAGCGACUUAUAUUCUGUAGCAAGGUUAACCGAAUAGGGGAGCCGAAGGGAAACCGAGUCUUAACUGGGCGUUAAGUUGCAGGGUAUAGACCCGAAACCCGGUGAUCUAGCCAUGGGCAGGUUGAAGGUUGGGUAACACUAACUGGAGGACCGAACCGACUAAUGUUGAAAAAUUAGCGGAUGACUUGUGGCUGGGGGUGAAAGGCCAAUCAAACCGGGAGAUAGCUGGUUCUCCCCGAAAGCUAUUUAGGUAGCGCCUCGUGAAUUCAUCUCCGGGGGUAGAGCACUGUUUCGGCAAGGGGGUCAUCCCGACUUACCAACCCGAUGCAAACUGCGAAUACCGGAGAAUGUUAUCACGGGAGACACACGGCGGGUGCUAACGUCCGUCGUGAAGAGGGAAACAACCCAGACCGCCAGCUAAGGUCCCAAAGUCAUGGUUAAGUGGGAAACGAUGUGGGAAGGCCCAGACAGCCAGGAUGUUGGCUUAGAAGCAGCCAUCAUUUAAAGAAAGCGUAAUAGCUCACUGGUCGAGUCGGCCUGCGCGGAAGAUGUAACGGGGCUAAACCAUGCACCGAAGCUGCGGCAGCGACGCUUAUGCGUUGUUGGGUAGGGGAGCGUUCUGUAAGCCUGUGAAGGUGUGCUGUGAGGUAUGCUGGAGGUAUCAGAAGUGCGAAUGCUGACAUAAGUAACGAUAAAGCGGGUGAAAAGCCCGCUCGCC
rnacentral:rRNA from 1 species